rnacentral:snRNA from 3 species
AUCACUCCUCAGCCUUUUGGCUAAGAUCAAGUGCAGUAUUUGUUUUUAUCAGUUUAAAGCACAUAACUGGAAAAUCUCCAACAUCAGAAAUUAGGGGCUAAUGAUACAUAUGCAAAUAGAAAAAUGGAUACAAAUUAAAUGCAAAGCUAAAUGAUUCUUU